rnacentral:tRNA from 1 species
GAGGGUAUAACUCAGUGAUAGAGUGCCUGCACAAGGUCCUGGGUUCAAACCCCUGUACCUCCA